rnacentral:rRNA from 1 species
AUGACUGUGCGAAUCUAUAGGCUAAGUUUGGCAUCGAUUUCGUCAUGGUUGUGGACUUAUGGUGUUUGUAUCCUUCCUGCGAGCUUCAUCCGAACUUUGGACCUCCAUGACGAAGCUUCGGAGGUUUCUUUCCGCCGGCCCUCCGGGAGCCAUUGCAUCCCGCGCCAUCCCUUUCAGAGACUCCACUUUUUUCCUGACCUCCACGGCCCUCGCGCCGUCGCCCAUGACCAGCUCAACGCACCUCGCCAGCUCCGGCCCGGAGAAGAUGCCCUCGCCGUUGCGCUCUCCCCUAACGCCGGCAGCCCACUCCUCCUCUAUCAACAUCGCGUUCGUCGGCUGGUCGAACGUGCUCGGCGCGGCGACGACAGCCACGCCCAGCGCCAUGGCCUCGAGCGUCGAGUUCCACCCGCAGUGGGUGACGAAGCACCCCACGGACGGGUGCGAGAGGACCUCCGGCUGGUCGCACCACUCCACCACCAUGCCCUUCCUCUCCUGCACGACGUCCUCGAGGCAGCGGCUCACGUCCUCCUGCCGCCCGUCCUUGCGCACCACGAGCAGGUACGGCCGUCCGCACCGCCGCAGCCCGUCCGCGAUCUCCUCCAUCUGCUGCUUGCUGUACGUCCAUAUGCUGCCGAACGAGACGUACACCACCGACCUCGCCGGCUGCGCCCCGAGCCACUCCAUGUACCUCAUCUUGUCGUCACCAGCGUGGUUAAACAGAUGGAUCCGCGCGUCGGCCGAAGACCCGACCACGGGGCCGACGGCGAACACAUCCAUGUGCUCCCUCAUGGCCGCCAGCGCUGCCGGCUCCAGUUCGUCGAAAGUGUUCACGAGGACCUUGACAUUCCGCCUCUGCUCGUCCAUGAACUCGAACAGCUCACAGAACACCGCGUUGACGACCUUGCCCACCUCACCUCCGGUCGUGUCGACGAGGAAUGA